UACGAAGGGGAGCUAGCGUUGCUCGGAAUCACUGGGCGUAAAGGGUGCGUAGGCGGGUCUUUUAAGUCAGGGGUGAAAUCCUGGAGCUCAACUCCAGAACUGCCUUUGAUACUGAGGAUCUUGAGUUCGGGAGAGGUGAGUGGAACUGCGAGUGUAGAGGUGAAAUUCGUAGAUAUUCGCAAGAACACCAGUGGCGAAGGCGGCUCACUGGCCCGAUACUGACGCUGAGGCACGAAAGCGUGGGGAGCAAACAGG
rnacentral:rRNA from 1 species